CCAACAGGGAUUGCCUCAGUAACGGCGAGUGAAGCGGCAACAGCUCAAAUUUGAAAUCUGGCCUCUUGGGGGUCCGAGUUGUAAUUUGUAGAGGAUGUUUCGGGUACCGCCUCGGUUUAAAUUUCUUGGAACAGAAUGUCAGAGAGGGUGAGAAUCCCGUCUUGGACCGGCGGUAGGGCCCAUGUGAAACUCCUUCGACGAGUCGAGUUGUUUGGGAAUGCAGCUCAAAAUGGGUGGUAAAUUUCAUCUAAAGCUAAAUAUUGGCCAGAGACCGAUAGCGCACAAGUAGAGUGAUCGAAAGAUGAAAAGAACUUUGAAAAGAGAGUUAAACAGUAUGUGAAAUUGUUGAAAGGGAAGCGCUUGCAACCAGACUUGAGCGCGGCGGUUCCCCCUUCCUUUUGGUUGGGUUACUCCGCCGUGUCCAGGCCAACAUCGGUUCUGGGGGUCGGUUAAAGGCCCGGGGAAUGUAUCUACUCCUCCGGGGGUAGACUUAUAGCCCCGGGUGUCAUGCGACCACCCGGGACCGAGGAACGCGCUUCGG
rnacentral:rRNA from 1 species